CGAAUUUAGAGCCGUAUCAUAAUUUAGAGAGGUGGGGACUAGCCUUCUUUUAGCACCACUUGUAUAACUCUUUCAUCAAGACAAAACAAGAGUGCUCCAAAAUGGCAUAAUUAUGUUUCUGCUUCAUCGAAAUUGGUAAAUUAGAUGCAAAAUCCUGCUACUUAUUUAAUAAUGCUCCGCCUUUAUUUUUUCAGGAGAUUUUGAAGUUACAAUAAGUUCUCAAAUGUUACAGCAAGGUACUCUGCAUGACUUGAU
rnacentral:lncRNA from 1 species